rnacentral:rRNA from 1 species
AAGUGGAUUAGUGGCGCACGGGUGAGUAAUGCAUAGGUUAUGCGCCCUUUAGUCUGGGAUAGCCACUGGAAACGGUGAUUAAUACUGGAUACUCCCUACGGGGGAAAGUUUUUCGCUAAAGGAUCAGCCUAUGUCCUAUCAGCUUGUUGGUGAGGUAAUGGCUCACCAAGGCUAUGACGGGUAUCCGGCCUGAGAGGGUGAUCGGACACACUGGAACUGAGACACGGUCCAGACUCCUACGGGAGGCAGCAGUAGGGAAUAUUGCUCAAUGGGGGAAACCCUGAAAGCAGCAACGCCGCGUGGAGGAUGAAGGUUUUAGGAUUGUAAACUCCUUUUGUAAGAGA